AUAGCUGGUACUAGGACCAUAUUUGCAAACCACUGCACUAACUUAUUAUGUGUUUUGGUUGGUUUUUGAGUCUCCAGCUUCCCCUCUCAACUCCCAGCCACUUUACGGAACACCCUCAGUGCCCAGGGGUCUCUUGUCCUUAGCCCUGGUUCUCCCUGGGCUGACUAGAGACUUUGCAAUGUGCCAGUAAGAGGAUAUAUAUGAGAUCCUUACUCAUGUGCUUGUCUCUUGUGAAGCUAAUCACACUGGACUUUUAAGCCCAUUCUUCCUGACAUCCAGUCAUUGACUCUGAAUUAGCUGAGGCAUGAGAACUUCACUGCAGGAAGAUCCUGCCCCUUGCUUGCUCCUAAACGUGCCUUUAAAGUUCAAUUUGACCAACCCACCAUUGCAAGCGCUCUAGAGGAGAAGACAGCCUUGCUGUGUCCAAUCCACUUUAGUUUAUACAUUUCUUGUCAGUCACAUUUAUGCUCCCACUGAAUAGGACAGUGUGAACCAUGGAUUAAGUAUGCAAUAAAUGGUUGUUGAAUAAAUCAGAUAAUUAAAUGCAUUCUGCACAGAA